AUGUUCGAAGUGGAGAUCAACAACAUGAACGACAUUUACUCUUUCCUUGUGGCAUGCUGUGGCCCUCGUUUGGAGAGGCUAUUUGUGCAGCUUCCGACAAUCAAUUAUCCAUAUGAGCCAGAGGAUGAACCAUCAGGAUCAGAAUCAGAGGAAAAUGGAUCAAUGGAAGAGCUAUCAUACCAAGAGGCACAUGGGGAAGAUGAGUUGGAUGAAGACUUGUCAGAAGGAGAAGCACCAGAGAAAGAUGGGCUAGAGGAACAGCUGUCAGAGGGAGAUGCCCUGGAGGAAGAUGAGUUAGAGGAAGAGUUGUCAGAGGGAGAUGAACUAGAGGAAGAGCUGUCAGAAGGAAAUGAACUAGUGGAAGAGUUGUCAGGGGGAGAGCCACCUGAGGAAAAACAAUCACAUAAACAGGGGUUAGAGGAACAUGGGUCAAUGGAAGAGCUAUCUGAUGGAGGGCAAUCAGAGGAAGAGACACUAGAGCACGGCGAUGUCUUUGAGAACCUUAUGUUGCUCAAAAUGAUGAAUUUCAUGGGACGCUACAAUGAGAUGCAGCUAGUAAGCCUUGUGUUGAAGAAGGCUAUUAGCCUCAAGCAACUGAUACUAUUUACUCCCAAGAUUAAUCACCCAGAAGAGCUCCACAAGGAUCAUAUGAAUACUUCCCAUUUGCUUGAAAGAAAACUAUUUUCUCUCAGAAAGGCCUCGCCAAAUGCUCAGAUAGUUCUCAGCGAGCCUGACGAUAGUGCAGUCCAGCCGUUGCAUGAGGCUUUAGUCAAGAUUUACUGA
rnacentral:rRNA from 1 species